GACGAACGCUGGCGGCGUGCCUAAUACAUGCAAGUAGAACGCUGAAGAGAGGAGCUUGCUCUUCUUGGAUGAGUUGCGAACGGGUGAGUAACGCGUAGGUAACCUGCCUGGUAGCGGGGGAUAACUAUUGGAAACGAUAGCUAAUACCGCAUAAAAUUGAUUAUUGCAUGAUAAUUAAUUGAAAGAUGCAACUGCAUCACUACCAGAUGGACCUGCGUUGUAUUAGCUAGUUGGUGAGGUAACGGCUCACCAAGGCGACGAUACAUAGCCGACUUGAGAGGGUGAUCGGCCACACUGGGACUGAGACACGGCCCAGACUCCUACGGGAGGCAGCAGUAGGGAAUCUUCGGCAAUGGGGGGAACCCUGACCGAGCAACGCCGCGUGAGUGAAGAAGGUUUUCGGAUCGUAAAGCUCUGUUGUAAGAGAAGAACGGGUGUGAGAGUGGAAAGUUCACACUGUGACGGUAUCUUACCAGAAAGGGACGGCUAACUACGUG
rnacentral:rRNA from 1 species